AUGAAUCCGCAUCUGGUGAAGAUAGGAAGCACUUUUUUUUUUUUUUUUUUUUUUAACAUCUGGAAAUCUAUUUGUCUCUGUCUAUCUCCCGGUGAACCGUUUCUAAGCGCGAGUAUAUCCAACUCGGAUUCAGGUGAUGACUCACCUCGGGACUCUCCUGCCAGCCCUGCUGCUGGUUUUGUCUGUGGCCGAACCUCUGAGCAGCCCCGAGGAAAAUGAAAAUGAAGUCCUGAAACACGCGGAGACUGACUCCACCAAGGGCCAGGUGGUUGAGAAUGCAAUCGGAAAUCUCAGUGAACCCACACCAAGCCACACACCCACCACAU